AAGAGACAGCAGUAGCCGCGGUAAUACGUAGGUGGCGAGCGUUGUCCGGAUUUAUUGGGCGUAAAGGGAGUGUAGGCGGUCUUUUAAGUCUGAUGUGAAAGCCCACGGCUCAACCGUGGAGGGUCAUUGGAAACUGGGAGACUUGAGUGCAGAAGAGGAGAGCGGAAUUCCAUGUGUAGCGGUGAAAUGCGUAGAUAUAUGGAGGAACACCGGUGGCGAAAGCGGCUCUCUGGUCUGUAACUGACGCUGAGGCUCGAAAGCGUGGGGAGCGAACAGGAUUAGAUACCCCCGUAGUCCCUGUCUCUUAUAA
rnacentral:rRNA from 1 species